AUUGAACGCUGGCGGCAGGCCUAACACAUGCAAGUCGAGCGAGCGGCGGACUGGUAAGUAAUGUAUAGGGAUCUGUCAGCUAGCGGGGGAUAACUACUGACAACGGUGGCUAAUACCGAAUACUACCGGAUCAACCCAUAUGGGAUUAGCUAGUGGGUGGGUUAAAGGCUCACCUGGGCGACGAUCCCUAGCUGGUCUGAGAGGAUGAUCGGCCACACUGGGACGGAGACACGGCCCAGACUCCUACGGGAGGCAGCAGUGGGGAAUAUUGCACAAUGGGGGAAAGCCGGAUGCAGCCAGGCGGCGUGUAUGAGGAAGUCCUUAGGUUUUUAAAGUAUGUUCUGAGGGGAGGCGUUACCCGAAGAGGAAGCAACGGCUAACUCCGUGCCAGCAGCCGCGGUAAUAC
rnacentral:rRNA from 1 species